CACACACACACACACACACACACACAGACAAACAGACAGACAGACAAGCACCACCCUCACCACCACCAGCCCAAAGCAGCACAACAGUAACAACAACUCUUAAACAACCAAACGUCACAAAAAUACAUUCUUUCAUCUUGUUUCGGCAACAACAACAACAACAGCAACAACAGCAGCAACAACAACAGCACAGCCCUGGGCGAAACAUUCAGGGCCCAGAUGACUUCCCUAUAUUGGAUGACUGAAAAUUUGUCAACACUGUGGCCCGAUGGCUGUGAAAGUGUGUUUUUGGGGUGUUUUGGAGUGUUUUGUGAAAGUGUGUUUUUGGGGUAUUCUGUGUUUUUUUUUAGGGUGUUUUGCAGGUGUUUUGGGGUGAAUAAGUGUGUUUUAAUGUGUUUUGGGAUGUGAAAGUGUGUUUUGGGGUAUUUUGGGAUCAAUUAGGGUGUUUUGGGGGUGUUUACGGGUGAAUAAGUGUGUUUUGAGGAUGUUUUGGGGUGUGAAAGUGUGUUUUUGGGGGUGUUUUGGUCUCUCUCUCUCUCUCUCUCUCUCUCUCUCUCUCUCUCUCUCUCUCUCUCUCUCUCUCUCUCUCUCUCUCUCUCUCGUUCUCUGUUAUUUAACACCUUAUAGCGUAACCAUAUGUAAUCUAACCCUAUGUAAUUCAUAUUAGAGACACAAAGAGGAUUACAACGUGGCAUCUAUUACUAACACCCUUUAAUGGAAUCCAGACCCGUUUAUAGGCACGGGAAGGGGAUUAUAACACGCAAAACUUUAUAUUUAUUCCUUAUUAUUCUAUCUAUCUCAUUUCCACUCCUUUUAUUUCAUCUAUAGACACAAAUAGGGUUAAACAUACUAAAACCUCUAUAUCACAGUUUUAUCUUUAUGUCAUCUAUAGACGCAGGAAUGGGAUUAAACACCACCAAAACCUCUUUAUUAUCCUCUAUAUCAUCUAUAAGCGCUGAAAUAGAAUUAAACACCAUCAAAACCUCUUUAUUAUCCUCUAUAUCAUCUAUAAGCGCUGAAAUAGAAUUAAACACCAUCAAAACCUCUUUAUUACCCUCUACAUCAUAAUGUCAUCCCCUUCAUGUCAUCUAUAGGCGCAGGAAUGGGAUUAAACACCACCGAAACCUCUUUAUUAUCCUUUAUCUUAUCUAUAAGAGCUGAAAUAGAAUUAAACACCAUCAAAACCUCUUUAUUACCCUCUAUAUCACGUCAUCGCCUUCAUGUCACCUAUAGACGCAGGAAUGGGAUUAAACACCACCGAAACUUCUUUAUUAUCCUCUAUCUCAUCUAUAAGCGCUGAAAUAAGGUUAAACACUCUAAAACCUCUUUAUUACCUUCUAUAUCACAAUAUCAUCCCCUUUAUGAUAUCUAUAGACGCAGGAAUGGGAUUAAACACCAACGAAACCUCUUUAUUAUCCUCUAUCUCAUCCAUAUGCGCUGAAAUAGGGUUAAACACACUAAAACCUCUUUAUUACCCUCUAUGUCACAAUGUCACCCCUUUUAUAAUAUCUAUAGACGCAGGAUUGGGAUUAAACCCCACCAAAACCUCUUUAUUAUCCUCUAUCUCAUCUAUAUGUGCAGUAGUAGGAUUAAACACCAUCAAAGUUUCUUUAUUACCCUCUAUGUCACAAUGUCACCCACCUUUAUGUCAUCUAUAGACGCAUGAAUGGGAUUAAACACGCCUGAAACCUCUAUUAUCCUCUAUCUCAUCUAUAAGCACAGGUAUAGGAUUAAACACCCUCAAAACCUCUUUAUUACCCUCUAUAUCACAUGUUAUCUAUAGAUGCAGGAAUGGGAUUAAACACCACCGAAACCUCUCUAUUAUCUUCUAUCUUAUCUAUAAGCACAGGUAUAGGAUUAAACACCAUUUUUAGCAACAGCAAUCCACUUUUUAGGUACAGGAAGUAGUAAUAAUGCUUCAAAUCACUUCUAACUCCCUUUAUAGACUGAUAAACAGAUUCAAAAUCCCUUAAACUUCCCUAAAUAGGCUCAGAAUCUUUAAAACUGUCCUAAAAUAGGAUUAGAACCCUUAAAACACCCUUUGGACCCUUUUUAAUGCAAUUCAACCCUCCACACAGACACUGAGAGAAGACUGGAGCGGGUGGAGCCUAUUCUUAAGUUCUACGUGGGGCCAACUCUCCUCCACUGGGCGGCAUCAAAGGGCUAGCAUGACCUGGUGGUUGACCUCCUUGUUCGGGGCUUGUCUGUGAAUGCUUGUGACCGGUUGGGCCGCACUCCACUGGGGCUGGCCACCUUUGCCGGCCACUCUAGCACUGUCAGCACCCUGCUGCAGGAGAACGCCGCUCUCUCUGCUGAAGCCAACAGACAAGGACUGGAGAAUAAUAUCGCGUGAGGAGGUUGGUCUCUGCUUAGUUCGGGUCAUUGAAGAAACUGCCGUGUGUUUCCUUUGACGCGGCGAGGUCGGAAUGCU